rnacentral:misc_RNA from 1 species
CCAAAAAAAAGUAUACUUUUUGAAAAAUACUUUUUACCCAACCUGUGAAUUUUUUUUUUUUUUCUGUUUACCCCACACUCUUUUUACUAUAUAUUUUUUUUAUUUAUAAAUUUUUGAAAAAAAAAAAAAUUUAAAAUA